rnacentral:misc_RNA from 1 species
UUUUGUUUUGGUCUACACAGUGUUUUCCGCCACAGAUCCGAAGAGGAAUGCCAGAGACUCCCAUGUGCCGGUUUUGGCUCCACUCCCAAUUGGAUUUGCUGUAUUCAUGGUUCACUUGGCCACCAUUCCAAUCACUGGAACCGGCAUCAACCCAGCCAGGAGUCUAGGAGCUGCUGUUAUCUACAAUCAGGACAAGCCCUGGGAUGAUCAUGUCAGUAUAUAUAAACAUAUUCAUCAACUUAAUUAUGGUUAUUAAUUAAACAUGGUAAUGGGUACUUAAUUUUCUUGUUAAAUUAUUUUUUUCUUGCAGUGGAUCUUUUGGGUUGGUCCCUUCAUUGGUGCAGCCAUUGCAGCCUUCUAUCACCAAUUCAUCUUGAGGGCAGGAGCUGUGAAGGCUCUUGGGUCAUUCAGGAGCAACCCAACUGUUUAAGGGAAGAAAUAAUUUUUCUAAACUAAUAAUGAAGGAAAAGCAUGUGCUGGUUGGUUUCAUUAUUAGCCCUUCUGGUGUGUUCUUUGUUGUUGGGGGGGUUGAAAAUGUGAGAAGAGAGGUUUGAAAGAAUUAUGGAAUUUGUAGAUAUAAAAGCCUCUUUGAAAAUGGGAGGCUUUUGGUUAUCCCUUUUUUAUUUGUUUUCCCUUUUUUAUUUGUUUUGUUUGAGUUCACUUAGCAAUGUUAUGAUGGUUUUCUUGGUUGGUUCAUCAUCAUCAUCUAUUGUCUAUUUUUUCUUCUUUGCACUUAUUAUGCUUGUAAGAAAAGUUAGGCUCCUUUGCUUUUAUUAUAAGUGUAGGCUAUGCUUGUUUUAUUAUGAGCUUUAAGUUUCAUUUUCACAUAUUAUGUUUCCAUAUUUUUUUCCAAAUCAAGUAUUCAUUUCAU